ACGGUGAAACCGCGAAUGGCUCAUUAAAUCAGCUAUGGUUCCUUAGAUCUUACAUCCUACUUGGAUAACUGUAGUAAUUCUAGAGCUAAUACAUGUCACAAAACCCUGACCUCACGGGAAGGGUGGAUUUAUUAGAACAAAACCAACCGAUUUCGGUCGUUGGCUUGAUGACUCUGGAUAACUUUCCUGAUCGCAUGGCCCUGUGCCAGCGACGUAUCUUUCAAAUGUCUGCCCUAUCAACUAUUGAUGGUAGGUGACUUGCCUACCAUGGUUAUAACGGGUAACGGGGAAUCAGGGUUCGAUUCCGGAGAGGGAGCCUUAGAAACGGCUACCACAUCUAAGGAAGGCAGCAGGCACGCAAAUUACCCACUCUCAGCUCGAGGAGGUAGUGACGAAAAAUAACGAUGCGGGACUCAUCUGAGGCCCCGCAAUUGGAAUGAGAACAGUUUAAAACGUUUAUCGAGUACCAAUUGGAGGGCAAGUCUGGUGCCAGCAGCCGCGGUAACUCCAGCUCCAAUAGCGUAUAUUAAAGUUGCUGCAGUUAAAAAGCUCGUAGUUGGAUCUCAGGCUAGGAGCUGGUGGUUGUUCUCUGUGAACAUACUGCUAGUUCCGCCUCAUCAGUCGCAAGUUAUCUUGUGUGCUCUUAACCGGGUGCAUGAGAUACUCGGCACGUUUACUUUGAAAAAAUUAGAGUGCUCAAAGCAGGCCUUGUGCUUGUAUACUGUUGCAUGGAAUAAUGGAAUAGGACUUCGUUUCUAUUUUGUUGGUUUUCGGUAACGAAGUAAUGAUUAAAAGAGACAGACGGGGGCAUCUGUAUGGCGGUGUUAGAGGUGAAAUUCGUUGACCGCCGCCAGACAAACAACUGCGAAAGCAUUUGCCAAGGAUGUUUUCAUUAAUCAAGAACGAAAGUCAGAGGUUCGAAGACGAUCAGAUACCGUCCUAGUUCUGACCAUAAACGAUGCCAACUGACAAUCGGGGUUGUUAUCAUCUUUUCACCCCGGCAGUCCCUGGGAAACCUUUAAGUUUUUAGGUUCUGGGGGGAGUAUGGUUGCAAUGCUGAAACUUAAAGGAAUUGACGGAAGGGCACCACCAGGAGUGGAGCCUGCGGCUUAAUUUGACUCAACACGGGAAAACUCACCCGGCCCGGACACUGUGAGGAUUGACAGAUUGAUAGCUCUUUCUUGAUUCAGUGGGUGGUGGUGCAUGGCCGUUCUUAGUUGGUGGAGUGAUUUGUCUGGUUAAUUCCGAUAACGAACGAGACUCUAGCCUGCUAAAUAGUUGGCACAUGUUUAGUGUGCAUGCAACUUCUUAGAGGGAUUCGCUACUUGAAUAGCACGAAAUUGAGCAAUAACAGGUCUGUGAUGCCCUUAGAUGUUCGGGGCCGCACGCGCGCUACAAUGACGAUAUCAAUGAGUAUCAUCCUUGCACGAAAGUGCCGGGAAAUCUUGUGAAANAUCGUCAUAUCAGGGAUNGGGGCUUGUAAUUAUUCCCCAUGAACGAGGAAUUCCCAGUAAGCGCAAGUCAUAAGCUUGCGUUGAUUACGUCCCUGCCCUUUGUACACACCGCCCGUCGCUACUACCGAUUGAACGGUUUAGUGAGGCCUUUGGAU
rnacentral:rRNA from 1 species